GCUCCGAGCAACGGAAUUCGGGACCCGG
rnacentral:sRNA from 1 species